rnacentral:rRNA from 1 species
UACGAAGGGGGCGAGCGUUGUUCGGAAUCAUUGGGCGUAAAGGGCGCGUAGGCGGGCUUGUAAGUCGAUUGUGAAAUCCCUGGGCUUAACCCGGGAAUUGCAGUCGAAACUGCAAGUCUUGAGUUCUCGAGAGGAUGGUGGAAUUCCUGGAGUAGUAGUGAAAUACGUAGAUAUCAGGAGGAACACCGGAGGCGAAGGCGGCCAUCUGGCGAGACACUGACGCUAAGGCGCGAAAGCGUGGGUAGCAAACAGG